rnacentral:rRNA from 1 species
GACGAACGCUGGCGGCGCGCCUAACACAUGCAAGUCGAGCGGAGAUAUUUGAAGGAAGUUUUCGGAUGGAAUUUGGGUAUUUUAGCGGCGGACGGGUGAGUAACGCGUGAGUGACCUGCCUUCCACAGGGGGAUAACGUACCGAAAGGUAUACUAAUACCGCAUGAGACCACAGCACUGCCUGGUGCAGGGGUCAAAGGAGCAAUCCGGUGGAAGAUGGACACGCGUCCGACUAGAUAGUUGGUGGGGUAACGGCCUACCAAGUCAGCGAUCGGUAGCCGACCUGAGAGGGUGAUCGGCCACAUUGGAACUGAGAGACGGUCCAAACUCCUACGGGAGGCAGCAGUGGGGAAUAUUGGGCAAUGGGGGAAACCCUGACCCAGCGACGCCGCGUGAGGGAAGAAGGUUUUCGGAUUGUAAACCUCUGUUCUUGGUGAAGAGGGAAAGACGGUAGCCAAGGAGGAAGCCCCGGCUAACUACGUGCCAGCAGCCGCCGUAA